AGACUCAGAUAGGAAAGGAAGGAUGCUGCCCAAAAGUAGAAAGAAAAUCCUUCUCCAAAACAUGGUGGAGACACUGGCCUCCACUCUGGACCUUUCAGUAGGCAGAAUGGAUGCACAGCAGCCAGGGGAGCAAUGCGUGGUCUCCUUGCCUCCCGGGAAUGGUCUCAGAGUUCCAGACCUCUGUGAUGUCACUGGAGAGAGGGAAGUGGGCUCCCGCUGCUCCCACCCCCUUCUCCUCUGGAUUUCUGCCGCUUUUGAGGUGAGGGGAGGUGACCUGAGCGACCACCGAGGCCCAGCUCUGUCUCCCCUCCGGCCACCUCAGCCCCCACCGCAUGCAUGGAGAGAAGUUAGUGGGUAAAGCGCACAGAAGUGAACUAGCUUCCAACGGAGCUGGAAACGACGGCCUGCACAGUCUCCGAGGAGGGACAUGUCCUUAGAAGCCAACCCUCCGGGCCUGGAAACCACCACAGUCACUUUCUUCGUCCUCCUCCUAAUCUGCUUCAUUUUCAUCUUCCUUUUAUUGGUGUUUUUUUUAUAUAAAUGUUUCCAAGACAAAAAAGACGACUGGGCAGAAAGAAGUCCUUGCACAGAUGCUAAUGGAGAUGAAGACUGCUCACCUUCGCCUGAGGAAGAGGAGAUGAACGGACCCCAGUGCCAAUCGUGGACUCCAGUGCACCCGUGAGGCCUGGCAUUCUCGUCCAGAGACAGAACAGGGAAGCGGUAACACCCUUAGGAAACAGAAAGGAGGAGGAGGCAGAGGAAGAGGACAAAAUGAAAGACAGGCAAAAGCCUGCGGGUGCCGGAGGAAUGAAUGAAAAGGGUAAAAAUUUGCAGGAAACUUCAGUCAGCGAAAGCCAAAAAAGACCUUUAAAAGGAGUGACAUUUUCUAAGGAGGUAAUUGUUGUGGAUCUUGGGGAUGAACACCCUGCACCUCAAAGAUACGCUCGAAAACAUAAAGAGAGAAAAAGAAGCCAAAAGAAGAAUAAGACAAAAGAAAAUGUAACCGUUGAGUAACAGUGGAAGGACAGGAUACCAAGUCAUGUUGAAACAGCAAAAUACAGUAACAGAAAUGCAGGUGCUUUGGACAGAAGCAAGUGUACCGCAUGCAGAGCUUUAUAAGUGAAAUACUUAGCGCUUGAAUAUAGUUUUUAAAAACUGAAAUCUGAGUUCAAUGAAUUGUAAUACUUUGCCUACUCACUGUCCAAACAUGUAAAUAAAGUUUUUUUAUUUUAGUGCA